UACUGAGGUUAGUGGCGAACGGGUGAGUAACACGUGGGCAAUCUGCCCUUCACUCUGGGACAAGCCCUGGAAACGGGGUCUAAUACCGGAUAAUACUUUCCUCCGCAUGGGGGAGGGUUGAAAGCUCCGGCGGUGAAGGAUGAGCCCGCGGCCUAUCAGCUUGUUGGUGGGGUGAUGGCCUACCAAGGCGACGACGGGUAGCCGGCCUGAGAGGGCGACCGGCCACACUGGGACUGAGACACGGCCCAGACUCCUACGGGAGGCAGCAGUGGGGAAUAUUGCACAAUGGGCGAAAGCCUGAUGCAGCGACGCCGCGUGAGGGAUGACGGCCUUCGGGUUGUAAACCUCUUUCAGCAGGGAAGAAGCGCAAGUGACGGUACCUGCAGAAGAAGCACCGGCUAACUACGUGCCAGCAGCCGCGGUAAUACGUAGGGUGCGAGCGUUGUCCGGAAUUAUUGGGCGUAAAGAGCUCGUAGGCGGCUUGUCACGUCGGAUGUGAAAGCCCGGGGCUUAACCCCGGGUCUGCAUUCGAUACGGGCAGGCUAGAGUGUGGUAGGGGAGAUCGGAAUUCCUGGUGUAGCGGUGAAAUGCGCAGAUAUCACGAGGAACACCGGUGGCGAAGGCGGAUCUCUGGGCCAUUACUGACGCUGAGGAGCGAAAGCGUGGGGAGCGAACAGGAUUAGAUACCCUGGUAGUCCACGCCGUAAACGUUGGGAACUAGUGUUGGCGACAUUCCACGUCGUCGUGCGCAGCUAACGCAUUAAGUCCCCGCUGGGGAGUACCGCGCAGCUUAACUCAAGAUGGACCGGGGCCGCACAGCAGCGAGCAUGUGCCUAUUCGACGCAACGCG
rnacentral:rRNA from 1 species